CCUACGGGCGGCAGCAGUGGGGAAUAUUGCACAAUGGGGGAAACCCUGAUGCAGCGACGCCGCGUGAGUGAAGAAGUAUUUCGGUACGUAAAGCUCUAUCAGCAGGGAAGAAAAUGACGGUACCUGACUAAGAAGCCCCGGCUAACUACGUGCCAGCAGCCGCGGUAAUACGUAGGGGGCAAGCGUUAUCCGGAUUUACUGGGUGUAAAGGGAGCGUAGACGGCAGCGCAAGUCUGGAGUGAAAUCCCAUGGCUUAACCAUGGAACUGCUGUGGAAACUGUGCAGCUAGAGUGCAGGAGAGGUAAGCGGAAUUCCUAGUGUAGCGGUGAAAUGCGUAGAUAUUAGGAGGAACACCAGUGGCGAAGGCGGCUUACUGGACUGUAACUGACGUUGAGGCUCGAAAGCGUGGGGAGCAAACAGGAUUAGAUACCCUAGUAGUC
rnacentral:rRNA from 1 species